rnacentral:piRNA from 1 species
UGUUAGUGUUGAACAUGGGUCUUAAAGC